UACGUAGGGUGCGAGCGUUAAUCGGAAUUACUGGGCGUAAAGCGUGCGCAGGCGGUUGGUUAAGUCUGAUGUGAAAGCCCCGGGCUCAACCUGGGAAUGGCAUUGGAAACUGGCUGGCUAGAGUGUGGCAGAGGGGGGUGGAAUUCCGCGUGUAGCAGUGAAAUGCGUAGAGAUGCGGAGGAACACCGAUGGCGAAGGCAGCCCCCUGGGCUAGCACUGACGCUCAGGCACGAAAGCGUGGGUAGCAAACAGG
rnacentral:rRNA from 1 species